rnacentral:rRNA from 1 species
CCUACGGGAGGCAGCAGUGAGGAAUAUUGGUCAAUGGACGAGAGUCUGAACCAGCCAAGUAGCGUGAAGGAUGACUGCCCUAUGGGUUGUAAACUUCUUUUAUAAAGGAAUAAAACGAGGCACGUGUGCCUUUUUGCAUGUACUUUAUGAAUAAGGAUCGGCUAACUCCGUGCCAGCAGCCGCGGUAAUACGGAGGAUCCGAGCGUUUUCCGGAUUUAUUGGGUUUAAAGGGAGCGUAGAUGGGUUGUUAAGUCAGUUGUGAAAGUUUGCGGCUCAACCGUAAAAUUGCGAUUGAUACUGGCAGUCUUGAGUACAGUUGAGGUAGGCGGAAUUCGUGGUGUAGCGGUGAAAUGCUUAGAUAUCACGAAGAACCCCGAUUGCGAAGGCAGCUUACGAAACUGUGACUGACAUUGAUGCUCGAAAGUGUGGGUAUCAAACAGGAUUAGAUACCCGAGUAGUC